UAGCUGCAGUAUGCUGAAGCAGUGACGGACUGGGAACAAAAAACGGCCCUGGCAUUUCCUCCCACCAGCGGCCCACCGGUGGGGGGGAGGUCGCAGAUAGAACUUUUGAUGCACGGAAAGAACACACACUUUUGAUAGCCCCAGUAAUGGUGAACGUAAACUCCCAUGCUAUAACAACUGCACCAAAACAUAGACAUAUAAAAAAAAAAAAAAGAAGAAAUCAUCAGAGCCAGCCGCUCCAUAAUAAUAUAAUAU